rnacentral:rRNA from 1 species
GAUGAACGCUAGCUACAGGCUUAACACAUGCAAGUCGAGGGAGCGGCGCACGGGUGCAUAACACGUAUCCAACCUGCCCUUUACUCGGGGAUAGCCUUUCGAAAGAAAGAUUAAUACCCGAUAUAAAGGAUGGGGAUGCGUUACAUUAGGGUGUUGGUGAGGUAACGGCCCACGAAGCCUUCGAUGGAUAGGGGUUCUGAGAGGAAGGUCCCCCACAUUGGAACUGAGACACGGUCCAAACUCCUACGGGAGGAAGCAGUGAGGAAUAUUGGUCAAUGGGCGGUAGCCUGAACCAGCCAAGUAGAGUGAAGGAUGAAGGCUUAUGGGUCGUAAACUUCUUUUAUAUAAGAAUAUGUAUUAUAUGAAUAAGGAUCGGCUAACUCCGUGCCAGCAGCCGCGGUAAUAC